rnacentral:piRNA from 1 species
UGAAAAUGGGGUUAAGAAAAGAAAAGGGUGG